AUCGUUCCACGCGAAACAUAUUAUACCAUCCUCAUCACCUUGAUGAGUGGCAGUCUUCCACUGAAUAGAGAACUGUCA